rnacentral:rRNA from 1 species
UGGGGAAUUUUGGACAAUGGGGGAAACCCUGAUCCAGCCAUCCCGCGUGUGCGAUGAAGGCCUUCGGGUUGUAAAGCACUUUUGGCAGGAAAGAAACGUCGCGGGUUAAUACCCCGCGAAACUGACGGUACCUGCAGAAUAAGCACCGGCUAACUACGUGCCAGCAGCCGCGGUAAUACGUAGGGUGCAAGCGUUAAUCGGAAUUACUGGGCGUAAAGCGUGCGCAGGCGGUUCGGAAAGAAAGAUGUGAAAUCCCAGAGCUUAACUUUGGAACUGCAUUUUUAACUACCGGGCUAGAGUGUGUCAGAGGGAGGUGGAAUUCCGCGUGUAGCAGUGAAAUGCGUAGAUAUGCGGAGGAACACCGAUGGCGAAGGCAGCCUCCUGGGAUAACACUGACGCUCAUGCACGAAAGCGUGGGGAGCAAACAGGAUUAGAUACCCUGGUAGUCCACGCCCUAAAACGAUGUCAACUAGCUGUUGGGGGCCUUCGGGCCUUGGUAGCGCAGCUAACGCGUGAAGUUGACCGCCUGGGGGAGUACGGUCGCAAGAUUAAAAACUUAAAGGAAUUGACGGGGGUCAUAGCUGUUUCCCU